ensembl:snoRNA SNORD36 Small nucleolar RNA SNORD36
UGCCAAUGAUGGUUAAGAAUUUCUUCACCUGAAUAAACCCAUGUGGUCAUGCUUUGUCUGAGGCAA